GAAGCCGACCUGACAAAGUUAGCCGACCGUCAGAACCGAGUUUUGCAUUUAUGCAGGUAACUGCAUGGGUGAAGCGUAAACAGGGUAACCGCAGGCCGUAAUGCGAAAGCGUGAAGGGGUUCAGCCUCGAAAAUGAUUAUGGUGUGGAGCGAGCCCAAGUGAUUAAGAACACUGAAGGCAGCAACGAAGCCACCGUUACAGGCGAGAUGGCGGAUACUCCACCGGGGAGGGGGAUUA
rfam:Syntrophobacterales bacterium GWC2_56_13 gwc2_scaffold_3621, whole genome shotgun sequence.